AGUUAAGGCAUUAUAUAAACAAUGCAGUUACCAUGAGGGAAUAAUAUCUGAAACUUUUAUUAAUUGGUGAAUGACUCUUCAUUUGGAAGAUUAAAUAUAACCUUCUUAUGAAAGCAAUCUAUGAUGGUGUAAUAUGUCUCUAACCAAUUCAUCCCUAGAAUUACAUCGAAUUCUCUAUUACUAUCAUGUCUACACUCAAUUUUCUACCUGUUAUUUCUAUAACGCAAGCUUUGUAUAUGACCUCCUCUAGUAGUGUCUCAUUCUCAAGAGGAAACACAAAUAGUACAAGGUCGAGAUUUUCAAAUAACACAU
rnacentral:lncRNA from 1 species